CUUUUGACCUCGGAUCAGGUAGGGAUACCCGCUGAACUUAA
rnacentral:rRNA from 2 species